GUUAGAGUUAUUGCUGCCUGAGUUAUAACAGCUGCCCUGGGAAUCUUGUCUGAACAACAAGUUAACUGCUGUUCCCAGUUAUAUCUGGUCUUUCCCACCCCCAAACAUACACAAAAGAUUUUUGUCAUUCUUGGCACUGGACAACAGAAGUGAUAAGACAUGCCAGCAGAACUCUAAAGGCAGAAUGUCCUUCCACCUGUUUUAUGCUGUAAGACAAACUUCCAAGUGCGAGGCAGUGUGGAGGGCUGUUUCCUUGAAUGGCAGCUGAAUGCACCAGCGGGAUCCUUGGCAGCAAUGCCCAGGCACUGAAGCCGGGCAUUCAGGAGAGCUAAAUGGAGAAAAGAAACUUGAGCAAACUGCUUCCUGGAACACUGAGAACCUGAAUGGGAAAUUAAGAAGAACCAGAUUAUUUCUAUUCUUCCACCAGCCAAGGUGAUGAGCACAAAAGGAUCCAUCUUAUACAGUGCUUGCCAGCUUCCAUAAUACUACUCACCACGAUGUUGAAAUCACCUGUUCCAGAACCAAUCCUGUCCUUUGACAAGAAGGAUUUAAUUAUCAGUAGUGGUGGGGACUGGCUGGAGAGAGGAAAAACACUUCAAGGACUCUGCCACCAUUCCUAGAUGGAGAGUGAAAAGUUUUUACCAUGGAACUCUCUAACAGUUACUCUAUGGCAGUGCCUAUUUCAAACCUCCCUUAACUUCUGAUUGUAUAGAUGUUUGUUUCAUUUGUUCAUCUGUUUGUUCACUUAGAGAUGUUUUAAGCCUUAAGAGAGAUAGUGGACAAGACAAUGCCUUGGAAAAGUACAAAGCUCAAUCCAAGUAAACUGUUUUUAAACUAGGAACUUAUGAAGCCUAAAAUAUAAAAUGUAUGUACAUGGAUAUGCUCUGAAGUGAGGUGGAGGGGUAGAAAUCGACAUGGCGAUAUUGUACUACAGCUUUGCAAGAUGUUACCAUUGGGGGAAAAUGCUUGAAGGGUACACGGGAUAUCUCUGCCUUAUUUCUUACAACUGCAUGUGAAUCUACAGUUAUCUCAAAAUAAAAAUUUAUUUAACAAUUAAUUACAAUUA